rnacentral:rRNA from 1 species
GGGGGGGGGGGGGGGGGGGGGGGGGGGGGGGGAGGCGAACGGGAGGGGGGUGGGGGUGGGGGGGGCUCGAGUGGCGGACGGGUGAGUAACGCGUGAGUAACCUGCCCUUGACUUUGGGAUAACUUCGGGAAACUGGGGCCAAUACCGGGUAGGAGCUCCUGCUGCAUGGUGGGGGUUGGAAAGUUUCGGCGGCUGGGGAUGGACUCGCGGCUUAUCAGCUUGUUGGUGGGGUAGUGGCUUACCAAGGCUUUGACGGGUAGCCGGCCUGAGAGGGUGACCGGCCACAGUGGGACUGAGGUACGGCCCAGACUCCUACGGGAGGCAGCAGUGGGGAAUAUUGCACAAUGGGCGGAAGCCUGAUGCAGCAACGCCGCGUGCGGGAUGACGGCCUUCGGGUUGUAAACCGCUUUCGCCUGUGACGAAGCGUGAGUGACGGUAAUGGGUAAAGAAGCACCGGCUAACUACGUG